CAUCCGGCCAAAUGGGGGCUCACCAGCUGCCCGUGGACGGAGUGGUGAGUGGGGGACACACGCAGGAGGAGGUCUGCUGGGUAGGGCUGUGGCUCUGCUGCUCACCCCACUGUGGUGAGCCCAGUGCUGGGGGUCUGGGUUGACCCGAGAGCCCCAGGCAGCAGGGGACGGGCUGGACGCCGGAGCCAGCAACGGCCAGGACAGGGGCAUGGGGAAGAGAUCUGUGGGAGGCCCUGGGGUCAGAACUGGGAUCUGCGAGCAGACGGAGAGGAGGCUCGGGGGCUCACCAGCCUCAAGACGUCGGUUUUGGGGGUGGAUCUCCAGGGAGGAGGCCCCCAGUCUCCAGGAGGCUCCAUGCCUCAGGCUCAGACCGGCAGCUCGGGAACCCAGCUAGCAGGAUGAACUCCAGCAGAGGAACUCAGCGCCAUUGCUGCGGCUGUGGGCCAGAAGAGAAAGAGAAAGAGAAAGAGAAUCCGCCUCGGUGUGACAAGCUGUGCCUCAGAACCCGAGCAGCAGGAGAGUGGGCAGCAGGGGGUGUCUGGCAGCAGAGAGGGGCUCAGGCCUGCUGGGUGGAGCGGCGCUGGGGGACACAGAGCCUGGUGGUAGGG
rnacentral:lncRNA from 1 species